AUUGAACGCUGGCGGCAUGCUUUACACAUGCAAGUCGAACGGCAGCACGGGGGCAACCCUGGUGGCGAGUGGCGAACGGGUGAGUAACACAUCGGAACGUGUCCAGUUGUGGGGGAUAACCCAUCGAAAGGUGGGCUAAUACCGCAUGAGCUGGCAACAGGAAAGCGGGGGGACCCGCAAGGGCCUUGUGCGAUUGGAGCGGCCGAUGUCCGAUUAGCUAGUUGGUGGGGUAAAGGCCUACCAAGGCUUCGAUCGGUAGCUGGUCUGAGAGGAUGAUCAGCCACACUGGGACUGAGACACGGCCCAGACUCCUACGGGAGGCAGCAGUGGGGAAUUUUGGACAAUGGGGGCAACCCUGAUCCAGCCAUGCCGCGUGAGUGAAG
rnacentral:rRNA from 1 species